rnacentral:rRNA from 1 species
AGAAUCAACGCUGGCGGCGUGCCUAACACAUGCAAGUCGAACGAGAAAGUGGAGCAAUCCAUGAGUAAAGUGGCGCACGGGUGAGUAACACGUGACUAACCUACCCUUGAGUGGGGGAUAACCUAGAGAAAUCUGGGCUAAUACCGCAUAAUACCUUCGGGUCAAAGGAGCAAUUCGCUUAAGGAGGGGGUCGCGGCCGAUUAGUUAGUUGGCGGGGUAAUGGCCCACCAAGACUAUGAUCGGUAU